UCAUCUCUAAAAUGAUGUUCCACAAUUAUUUUACAAUUCUUUAUUUGAAUUAGUCACCAAACUUGGAACACAAAAUAACAUUUAGGUUUAGUUACUUCAUCUAUCCAACAAAGCAACACAUCCUUCUCCUUUGUAACUUCCUGGUGUCCUAAACCUUAAAAGGACACUGGCACUUGUUAGGUAGGGCACUCCAUCCAAAUCUGAAAUCCUCUCCAAGUCUUAUCAUGGCACUGAGUUUGUGUCCCUCCGUGCCACUGAAGAGUUCCCUUCCUAGAGCAGAAAGAUCAUAUCCUUUGUUCCCUCGAUUACUUCCAUUAGGCUUUAGAAGCACAUGGAUAAUGUUGAAUUGUCCAUAAUGAAUGUCUAGUGCAGCAUCCCCUUCAUUCCAAAUGGAUGCGAACACUGUCCUCGAAACAAAGCUCUCACUCCUUCGGGGAAUGGGUCAUUUAAUCUCAAGAGUUUAAGCUGUCAAUGUCAAGAAGGUGCAUUUCAAUACAGAAUUCACUGAAGCAAGCAACAAAUUUAAAUGGAUCAUCUCAUCCCAACUCCUGUGACUAAUUCCCAACCACAACUUAGAUUCAUGAAAAAAAGUCAUCUUUCCUGUAAUUAAAUGGAAAGUAGUGGAUUAAAUUACAAAUUAAAAUUUCAGAUUUUCAUUCUGUGAGAUUAUAUAACAAUAUAUGCAAUUUAUUGGUUUACAAAACUGAAAUGUCUAGAAUUAUGACUGAAAAAGUGACUUGAUACAGUUACUCAAACAAUAGCACCCAGAAUCUGUUUAUUUCCAUGGCUCUGCUAUGCUUCCAUAGUGAAAGUUGCAGCCUCAGGCUCCACCCAGUGACCUCUGACAGUGCACUAUACCUUUGUGGUAGCAAAGUGCCUGUGGGGGUUAUAAAAUUUACAUCCUUAUGUUCCAGCAAAACUUUUCUUCUAUCUUAUUGGCUCUGUCUGGGUUAUUUACCCAUCCCCCAGCAGAUCUCUAUUGAGGGUAAUUUGACCAUUCCUAAGGUCAGUUCAACUACAUUCAAACCAUAAUGAGUUAAAUGAGUAUUUUCCAGACUAUAAAUGAUAAAUCAUUUGUGGGACAUGCAUCAGUACAAUGAACUCCCAGCAAUAAUUUUUUAAAGAAUAGACUCCUAUGGAAUAGAAAUAUAAAUAUCAGACUGUAUAACCAUUAGUAAUAUUUUUGCUGAAACUUGCUUAGUUUCAUAUAAAUGUAUGUGUUUGGUGAUAAGUGAUGCAAUUUGCAAUUUAUUUUUCUCUGAGCUGCAGAGGAAAAGUUUUAAAGGUAGUACUUAGAGUAAGAGAAAUUUGAAUACUCUCAAGAAAAAUCAGGGUGUCAAUUGGAAAUAGAAAUGGAUGCUGGGUAGCAGCCAAAAUAUAAAUAUAUACAACAUAGAAUCUAUUUGAUACCCAUUGAUUUAUAAUCUUUCUAAUAUGCAUAUUAUUUGCUUUUUUUUUUUACAAGCCAUAGUUUACUAGAGUAUGAACAAUAGCAGUUUGACAAAUGUUUUCUGUGAGUUUGGAAAAGCAAUAUUUUUUAAAGGCCAUUUAAAUCCGUCAUCUCUGCCACCUUGAGUAAGAGGUAUAUUUCAUCUUCUAACAAGCUUAUUCCACUCAGCCGUGAAGUAAGACCUUUAGCUCUAAAGGCCUUCUGGAUGCUCAAAUACCAAGUUAUUUUUUCCAAUUCUCAUCUUUUUUAUUCACAAUGGUUAUUUUUAUUUUAAACUAGAUACUUUCCUAUAACCAGUUUCUAGAUAGUGUCUGAGUAUAUAAGGAGGGAACAGGAUAACUGAAAGAUGACAGGACCAUCAGUCAGGACUUCCAGACUCCAGCUCCAGUUCUACUAUCGAUCAGUUCUAAAAUCUUGGGACUUCAAGUUCUUUGUGGCUCAGCGUCCAAUUUCUUGACAAACUGCCUGAAUAACCCAAUUCUGCUCUCAACAUGAUAUAGCUCUUUGAAUCCUGUAUCCAUUGUUCAAACCAUUAAUGAGAGUUUAAUCUGAGUUGUGUCAGAAAAUAUUCAUCGCAUCUCCUGUGUGUCCAGGUCUUAGCUAUGUAUUAUGGUGAAUAUACACCUGAGACUGGGUAACUUAGAAAGAAAAGAGGUUUAGUUGACUCACAGCUCAGCAUGACUGGGGAGACCUCAGGAAACUUGCAAUCAUGGUGGAAGGGGGAGCAAGCACAUCCUCCUUCACAUGGCAGCAGGAAACAGAAGAAUGAGAACUGAGUGAAGUGGGAAGCCCGUUAUAAAAUCAUCAGAUCUCGUG
rnacentral:lncRNA from 10 species